AUCUUUCUAGUACUAAACAACAGUAUGAGUGACUUCCAAUCACCCGGUCUUGGUUAAAGCCCAAGGAAAGAUA
rnacentral:tRNA from 1 species